rnacentral:lncRNA from 1 species
GGAUAGUUGUUUUAUUAAAUUCCCAAUACAUAAUUAAGCAAACAUCCUUAUUUAAGACGAGAGCAAACACACACACACAUACGAGGAGGGGUCCUCUAUUCUUCGGUCAAGAGAUGUUCGUCGAUCCCUUGAGACAUUUCUGUAAGGAGCUGGAUAAGAGUCUCAGGGUGAGCCACCUCCUCACUAAUUUUCUCUCCGACGGAAUUCCGACGACUUUACUGUUAAUCGGAAUGUCGUCGGAAAUUCGUCGGAAUAUACCGACGAACUUCCGACGACUACAACAGUUACAUUUUUUAUCGGAAUGUCGUCGAAAAGUCGUCGGAAAAUUCCGACGACUUCAUUUUUUUGGAUUUGGUCGGAAAUUGGUCAGUAAUCCGUCACAAAUGUCCGACGACAUUGAUGUCCGUCGGAACUUCCGUCGGAAUUCGGCGUGUUUUCUUGUAUUGUAACAAUCUUUUGUUUAAGUAGAUUUUUUAAGAAUUCUUCCCUUUUAAUAGUAUUGAUCAAAGUAGAAACCCAACCCCUUCAAACUUUUAUUGAUGUAACUUUCGCACGUACACACAUGGCAUAAAGAGAUGAAAUCAUUGUUAUAAACAAAUCAAUACAUAUUAACUUACAGCUUUAUGUUUUCAGAAGAUUAGACUCAAUAUCUCUAGUGAGAUAGACCGCAAAAUCCAUAUACUUGUUAGGAGCUGGAGAAUCUGAGUUAAGCUUCUCGUAUUCCCAGCUCCAUCUCGCUAUACUUCUUCCAUGGAGCUUCGGUAUAAUCUGAAGGUUGCAUUUGAAACUACUGUAGUUUUCCAUUACAUCUCCAUCGAACACAAACACAGUCAUUGAUUUGUUCUCCUCGUCUAUUUCAACUCUCUCCUUCAUCUUCUCCACUUUUCCAUCUGCAAACGAAACCCAUAUCAGAUUAGAGUGAUACAGAGAGUUAUAUAUGGGAAUUGUUGUAAUAAGAGGAGAGUUAUUUUAUUUUAUUUUACCGAUAGACAAAGUCCAGUUCUUGGUGUAAUCACCGACUUGCUCCUCCACGCUAAGUAUUUUCUCUGGAGAUAGUUUUGGUACGCUGCGGGAAGUAGCCUUAAUAGCUUGGAAAAUCUUGUCAGCUGAUACUUUGAUUUCCACUUCUAUCAUGGAUUUCGCCAACUGAGCCAUCGCUUUUUAUGUUAGUUGAUCUUCGAUGUUAGUCUAACUCUGCUUAUAUAAUAAGUGCAGUCUUUUGGAGGAAGAAUCAAUAUGGGAAUAUGGUACCAUGCCUAGUAUUUACGCUAGUUUAUAUUUAAUGGUUUUUUUGUUGUAUUCACAUACAAGACUCUCAUGUGGAGAAUUGAUCCACCAGGAAUCUCCACUCAAUAUUAGACCUUCUCAAUGGAUAAUUAUAUAUCUCACAAGUGUGAUGGAGCUUGCUUGUUGCUUAUAUUACUCUACAAGCCUACAACCGAAGAGGUCUCACCAUUAUUAACUUAUAAAACGUUCAACAUUCGAUCGAGUAACUUUCUCACCAUAGACAAUUGUAAAUUUGUAAUGGCAUUGAGCAGAAUGAUGCUCCUACAAAGUUUGGGCCUCUUAUAAAGUCUAGGCCUGUGUUGGAAUUUUAUUUUAUAGUAACUGGUAAGAAUGCACCCAAAAGCCCAUAUAAUUUGUCAUAUAUUCUUGUUUCUUUUUAAUAUUUUUAUGAUUAUAAUACCCUUAUCUCUAUCUCUCUCCCUUUUUCCUUUUUAUGUGUUCAAAUUUCUUUAUCUCUCGUAUAGAUUCUUCAAAUCAUCUUCUAAUUCAACACAAAUCUUUAUUUUUUUAUUCUGAUUCUUUUAACAUCCAUAAUGCUAAUCUUAUUAUCUCACCCCAAUUCCAAUGUUUCUAAUUUCGACCCAUAAUCAACUUUUAGAUAAUAUAUACGUUAGUAGGUAUUUUAUUACUUACAUGCUAUUAUUUAGAUUUUAAUGGAUUAUUAAUCGAUACAUGAAGUGUUAGCUGUAACAAAUAGUUUUGGGGCUAUUUGAUAGAUAACUAAUUAAUUGUUAAUAGUUUCAUUGACUGAUAUAUGAUUUGUUAGUCGAUACAUUUGUUUGAUACAUAGAUUGUUAGAUGAUACUGAAAUUAUUAGCUGAUAUGUUAGUUGAUAUGUAGAUUGUUACCUACUAUGUAAAUAUUUAACUGAUAAAUCUAGAGUUACUUGUUUUCGAUAAAGCAUGAGGGUAUUUUUCAUCCGCACAGUGUCAAAAAGUGACUUUUUUGGGUUAUCCAUAAUUAUGGGCAUUCAUCUAAUUUAGACCUUAAUUGGGUAUAUUCCAUACAUUCACUCUUUAUUUUAUAACGAACUUGAUGUUCCCAAAAAAUUAAUAGAUGUUUCGUAUAAUUUGAUCGUCUAGACUCCAGCAUGCAAUUUUAACGUCUAGCGUUUUCCUAACACUCAUUUUGCGACAUUUUUCUGAAUGAAGAAAAAGUAGACCCGCACAAAUUGAUAGCACCUAAAAUGACAGAACAAAUCAGUUGCGAUCUAGAGGGCAACAAGGACGUAUGGUUGUCUACCAAAUAAAUGAUGGUUUUUCCUCUCACUUGUAAACAGAUCAUCAUGAUUCAUGUCUUUUUUUUAUAAAGAAAACAAAUCAUCAUGUCUCCUCAAAAUAUAUCAAAAACUAGUUUCAGUUGUUUUUUUUGUAUUUCAAAACAGAUCUUUUAAUGUUUAAUGUGUACUAAUUAGAAUUUAGAUUGUAGAGGUGGAAUUUAAGGGUUAACUUUACGGAUCUAGAAUGUAAAAUCAGGGGGUAAUAAUAUUUCUUUUACUUUGAAAUAACAAUUUUGCAAAUAAUUUUAAAAUAUUUAUUUAUAUGAAAUAUAUUAUAUGUUAAAGAGAGUUUAGAUUUUUAAAAUUUUUUGUGAAAGAUUUUUUUUUAUUUUUGCUAUUCUACAUUUUUUUCAAUAUGUGUUACUUACUUAUUUCCAGAUAUUACAUAAAAAGACAAUUUUCUCAAAUAGCAAAAAAUAGUUUUUAACACAACUGUUGUAGUAUGCUAUUCUACAUUAUUUAUUUCAAAUACAUAAGAGAUUUUAAUGAAACAAACCCUCAGCUAUAGGCCCAUUUGUUUUUUAACCCUUAAGUAUUUUUAUAAUGAAAUAAUUUCUUAACUAAAAGCUAUUAGAAAAUUUGACUUUCCGUCAUUGGCAACGUUAAACCCAAAAACAAUUGUUUUAAUGCCAAUUAAAUGAAAAAACGAAGGUGCAAGGUAGAGUUCGAAAAUCCAGUAACUGUCAACAACAACAAGUCGGGCACAAUAUACGCUCAUCCAAGCGUGAAGCCGUGUCUAAACCACCUAAGAGACUUCGAGGAAGACCGAGCAAAAAACAUAAGAUUAUGGUAGAAGAAGACCAACACAAUCCUCCAUAGUUUCUUAGAAAAUGAUACAAAUGUUUCUUUUCUUAAGUUAUGCCUUUUGACGAUGUUCGUUUGUCUUUGGUUGAACUAUGUUACACUUUAUGAUGCUCUGUUUUUUUGUAUACAAUGCUCUGUUUUUUUGGUAUACAAUGCGAUGCUCUGUUUUAAUGAUAAAAUUAUGCUAGUUUGAUCUAUAUUGUUGGUAAAACAAAAGAUAAUGGUUUAAGGAGAUGUUUUUUAAAUGAGAAUAUUUAGUUUUAAAACUCGUUUUCAGCUUAUUCAAGUUCUAAAGUUUUAUUGAUCUUAUAAAAAAUUGAAAGUUUGUUCGUAGAAACUAAGGAAUGACAAUGAUAAUGCUUGUUCACGUUCAAGUCUUAAAUUUUAGAAUGAAAGAUUUGCUUUCUUAGGUUAGUUAUGAAGAUGAUUGUCGCAAUUCAAUCUGUUUUCUGAAAGUGUUUUUUUUUUUCUGAAGAAGACACCUUAUUGUUUCACUUUUAGAAUGUUGACAACAUGUUGUUUUGUUACAAUAAAACAACACUUUCUUAUUGUUGACGGAAGCUGUCUAGGGAUUAAACGUUCUUAAAAGUAAAGGGUUAAUUAUACUAACGGACUUCAGCUCAGAGGUUGUCUUGUUAAUAAAAUAGCUGAGAGUUAAAAAAUGGAUGGCCGGAUAGUUGUUUUAUUAAAUUCCCAAUACAUAAUUAAGCAAACAUCCUUAUUUAAGACGAGAGCAAACACACACACACAUACGAGGAGGGGUCCUCUAUUCUUCGGUCAAGAGAUGUUCGUCGAUCCCUUGAGACAUUUCUGUAAGGAGCUGGAUAAGAGUCUCAGGGUGAGCCACCUCCUCACUAAUUUUCUCAUACUCAAUGUGCCAGUGCACAAUACUUCCGGACCCUUCAUGCUUAGGGGUCGCCUGGAUCGUCAACACAAAGUUCUUGUACUCUUUCAUGAGAUCACCUUCUAUAACCCUCAUCUUGAACAGGUUCUUCUCCUGAUCCACCGCUUCUAUUAUGUCCUUCGCCACCUUUGGCUCUCCAUCUGCACCAAUUAGUUCAAAUUUUAUUUAUAUACACCGAUUUGAUUUUGAGAAUCAACAUGAAUGUAGUUCAAAGAAAAUAUCAUAAGAAUGUAUAUUGUAUCCAAUGAUGGUAUUACAGUGGUCAUCCCCUCGUGGAUAUAUAUGCCAAGAUUAAUUUCUGCUCUGAAAAUUAAUUUUCUUUUUCUAUUUUUGGGCAAUAUUUUUUUUUUAAAUUAAUUUUCUUGUUUGGAAUUCUCUUGUUAUUGAAAAAUGUAAUCAGUGUUAGUAUAGUUUAGUGACCGUCUAUAAUAUCAGUUUCGUGAUCGUUGCAUAUCUCAUAAAAAUGAGUUUUAAUUAAUUUCAGUUUUGAAUCAACCGAAUGGUUUUAUCAAAUAGUGCAUAAAUUUGACUUGCCAUGAACGUAGUUCCAGACGAUGAUUGAGCCGACUUUGCCCCAUUCGCCUUCGUGCAGAUCACAUCCCUUAAUGUGGCCCGGAGUUGCUUUGGGGAUAUGGUGUGGUCUCUCGGCGAACAUGUGAUGGAACUUUUCAGCCGAAGCUUUGAUCUCCACUUCUAUCUCAAGCUUCCCCAGCAAACAAGACGGUUCUGCCAUGUUUUUUUC